rnacentral:rRNA from 1 species
AUUGAACGCUGGCGGCAUGCCUUACACAUGCAAGUCGAACGGCAGCGGGGACUUCGGUCCGCCGGCGAGUGGCGAACGGGUGAGUAAUGUAUCGGAACGUACCUUUCAGUGGGGGAUAACGUAGCGAAAGUUACGCUAAUACCGCAUAUUCUCUGAGGAGGAAAGCAGGGGACCUUCGGGCCUUGUGCUGAUGGAGCGGCCGAUAUCAGAUUAGCUAGUUGGUGAGGUAAAGGCUCACCAAGGCGGCGAUCUGUAGCGGGUCGGAGAGGAUGAUCCGCCACACUGGGACUGAGACACGGCCCAGACUCCUACGGGAGGCAGCAGUGGGGAAUUUUGGACAAUGGGCGCAAGCCUGAUCCAGCCAUGCCGCGUGAGUGAAGAAGGCCUUCGGGUUGUAAAGCUCAUUCGGACGGGAAGAAAUUGGUGGGGCUAAUAUCCCCAUCGGAUGACGGUACCGUAAUAAGAAGCACCGGCUAACUACGUGCCAGCCGCCGCGGUAAAAC